CGAGCUCCCCCUGAGUCGCCUGGGAGCAGGGAGGGUUCUGCUACCCUGAGGGGCCCUCCCCGCGGGGCAGAGGGGUUUCUUCAGCAGUGCCCCGGAGCAGGGACUGCGCCAGCCAGCAGAAACAGCUAGUUGUUGUCUGCAGUGAAGAAUAAUUGGAAGCAUGGUGCCUGUUUCUUUUCCUCUCAUCUUCGUCUACGGCCAAACGUUGGUUUCUCAUUUCUAGAAGAUGAAAGAUGUGAUGACUCAGGAAAAACUGGAAUCUUAGUAACUGUGGUGGGCAUUGAGCCUUGCCAUCCACAAGAGAAAGCUUGCUGCUCGAGAUGUGAGUCUUCAGAUGUUCCUGCCGCCAUAUCUGACAGCUGCUGCCAAGAUUCCCUGGUGGGAUGGACUCUUAUACCUCGACAACCAGAAGCCCAAGUAAACUCUUCUAUAAAUUGAAUGACUCAUGCUUAAAAAAAAAAAAAACUAUC
rnacentral:lncRNA from 1 species